rnacentral:rRNA from 1 species
ACGCUGGCGGCAGGCUUACACCUGCAAGGUGUAAACGGAGAUGCAGGUGCUUGCACGUUAUCUAUAAACGGCGGACGGGUGAGUAAUACUUAGGAAUCUGGCCUCAUUCAGAUGGCGGGACAACCAUUUCGAAAGCGGAUGCUAAUACCCGCAAUACAGUCCUACGGGAGGAAAUGCAGGGGGAUCAGGAAUGACCUUGCGUCUAAUAGAUGAGCCUAAGUCGGUAUUAGCUUAUGCUUGGGAUUAGCUAGUUGGUGGCGUAUAAGGCCUACCAUAGGCGACGAUCUGUAGCGGGUCUGAGAGGAUGAUCCGCCAUCAGCUGGGACUGAGACACGGCCCAGACUCCUACGGGAGGCAGCAGUGGCGAAUAUUGGACAAUGGUGUGAACCCUGAUCCAGCCAUGCCGCGUGUGUGACGAAGGCCUUAUGGUUGUAAAGCACUUUAAGCGAGGAGGACGGGUACUGGUAUUAAUACGUAGCCACUACUGGACGUUACUCGCAGAAUAAGCACCGGCUAACUCUGUGCCAGCAGCCGCGGUAAUACAGAGGGUGCGAGCGUUAAUCGGAUUUACUGGGCGUAGAAGCGUGCGUAGGCGGCUAA